UGUACAUGUAAUACUCUUAUCAUUGUGACUUGUCAUGCAUUUCGUAAACCUAACGAUAGUGAUCUAUGCAUGCAGUAACUUGAGUUCAGUGUCACAGUGCUGCGUCUAAAAAGCCCAAAGCUGAUAAGACUGUGCGAUUGAUCCUAAAGCUGAUUUGACAGAUGAUUGCAUCAUCGCAAUAUUUAAGGUUCAAUAUACAGUCAGCGUCUCAUAAGAAUAAAUCCCAAGAUCCAAGACUUGCUUAAAAGCUUAAUUAAGAGACCAUUCUGUGCCACAAAGAAAUUGUUCAGGAAAGGGAGAAAUGGUGGAUUUGCAUUUUGGGUACAGUUCAAACAGAGUUCAAAAAGGUCAAACUCAUGGAAGAUCAGAGGGAGGACAACUGAAGAAAACUGAAAGAUACAGAAGGAAAAAGAACAAGAAAAUAUAUGAAAUAAUUAUGAAAUUGGGAGGAUGUACACAAUCUUGUCUGCAUUUGACCUGUAAAGAUUUAAUUCCCAUUCUUAUUUGUAUGCUGUAAGAUCAAAUAACUUGAUUUUUCAUAAAUUUACAAUAGAGAAUACAUGACAAAUGUUAUAUGUGAUAUUUCAAUUUAGCUUUGGUGUCAUUUCAUGUCAAAUCAUAUUUAUAAACAAGUACAUGGACUAAUUAUGUUAUUCAUUUGUACAUGUAUGCAUGUUUAACUAUUUAACCAUUUUGUGGAAAUCUUAUAAUUUGUACUCAACUUAGAAUAUGUAAAAUACAUGUAUCGACAAAUGCUACGGACUUGUUUGUAUACUUUCCUGUUUUGAAAGUACACUGAAAAAUAAGUUAUUUCUCUUGAUGAAAAUAAUUUAUCAAAAAAGUUGUGUAAGCAUUUUAAGAUAUUUAUUUUCAAAUAUUUAACCCAUGAAGAUAGAUCAUUGGAAUGUAAUGGAUUUUCAUCUAAAG